AGUGAACGCUGGCGGUAGGCCUAACACAUGCAAGUCGAACGGCAGCACAGUAAGAGCUUGCUCUUACGGGUGGCGAGUGGCGGACGGGUGAGGAAUACAUCGGAAUCUACUUUUUCGUGGGGGAUAACGUAGGGAAACUUACGCUAAUACCGCAUACGACCUACGGGUGGAAGCAGGGGAUCUUCCGACCUUGCGCGAUUGAAUGAGCUGAUGUCGGAUUAGCUAGUUGGCGGGGUAAAGGCCCACCAAGGCGACGAUCCGUAGCUGGUCUGAGAGGAUGAUCAGCCACACUGGAACUGAGACACGGUCCAGACUCCUACGGGAGGCAGCAGUGGGGAAUAUUGGACAAUGGGCGCAAGCCUGAUCCAGCCAUACCGCGUGUGUGAAGAAGGCCUUCGGGUUGUAAAGCCCUUUUGUUGGGAAAGAAAAGCAGCAGAUUAAUACCCCGCUGUUCUGACGGUACCCAAAGAAUAAGCACCGGCUAACUUCGUG
rnacentral:rRNA from 1 species